rnacentral:ncRNA from 1 species
ACUGAUAGAGGUUGCGGAGUUUAAGAGUAUUCGUUCGGAUGUGGCAGGCACAGGGGAAGAACGGGGAAAGGAGACUCCGCCGAAGAGCAGAGGGCGCUGUGUUUCUGACUCUGGGGGUGCGCGGAAUACGCGUAUCACUGUCAUCCGUUGGAUGGGGAGCUAUCUGG